GACGUAGGGCGCGAGCGUUGUCCGGAUUUAUUGGGCGUAAAGAGCUCGUAGGUGGUUUGUCGCGUUGUCCGUGAAAACUCACAGCUUAACUGUGGGCGUGCGGGCGAUACGGGCAGACUGGAGUACUGCAGGGGAGACUGGAAUUCCUGGUGUAGCGGUGGAAUGCGCAGAUAUCAGGAGGAACACCGGUGGCGAAGGCGGGUCUCUGGGCAACAACUGACGCUGAGGAGCGAAAGCGUGGGGAGCGAACAGG
rnacentral:rRNA from 1 species